UGCAGUCGACGACUCUGGUAUUGAUUGGUGCUUGCAUCAUGAUUUACAUUUGAGUGAGUGGCGAACUGGUGAGUAACACGUGGGAAACCUGCCCAGAAGCGGGGGAUAACACCUGGAAACAGAUGCUAAUACCGCAUAACAACUUGGACCGCAUGGUCCGAGUUUGAAAGAUGGCUUCGGCUAUCACUUUUGGAUGGUCCCGCGGCGUAUUAGCUAGAUGGUGGGGUAACGGCUCACCAUGGCAAUGAUACGUAGCCGACCUGAGAGGGUAAUCGGCCACAUUGGGACUGAGACACGGCCCAAACUCCUACGGGAGGCAGCAGUAGGGAAUCUUCCACAAUGGACGAAAGUCUGAUGGAGCAACGCCGCGUGAGUGAAGAAGGGUUUCGGCUCGUAAAACUCUGUUGUUAAAGAAGAACAUAUCUGAGAGUAACUGUUCAGGUAUUGACGGUAUUUAACCAGAAAGCCACGGCUAACUACGUGCCAGCAGCCGCGGUAAUACGUAGGUGGCAAGCGUUGUCCGGAUUUAUUGGGCGUAAAGCGAGCGCAGGCGGUUUUUUAAGUCUGAUGUGAAAGCCUUCGGCUCAACCGAAGAAGUGCAUCGGAAACUGGGAAACUUGAGUGCAGAAGAGGACAGUGGAACUCCAUGUGUAGCGGUGAAAUGCGUAGAUAUAUGGAAGAACACCAGUGGCGAAAGCGGCUGUCUGGUCUGUAACUGACGCUGAGGCUCGAAAGUAUGGGUAGCAACAGGAUUAGAUACCCUGGUAGUCCAUACCGUAACGAUGAUGCUAAGUGUUGAGGGUUUCGGCCCUCAGUGCUGCAGCUACGCAUUA
rnacentral:rRNA from 2 species